rnacentral:rRNA from 1 species
GAUGAACGCUGGCGGCGUGCCUAACACAUGCAAGUCGAACGGAAAGGCCCUGCUUUUGUUUUUUUCUCGAUUGGCGAGCGGGUGAGUAACACGUGUGUAACCCCCCCCUGUAUGUCGGAUAAAAUCAGGGAACUGCGGCUCAUACCGGAUAGGAGCUUCUGAUGCGUGGGGGUGGUUGGUAAGAUUCGGCGUUUGGGUAUGGACGCGCGGGUUAUGAGCUGGUUGGGGGGGUAGGUAGUGACCAAGGGUUCGAAGGGUAGGCCGCCUGAGAGGGUGACCGGCCACAUUGGGACUGCGAUACGGCCCAGACUCCUACGGGAGGCAGCAGUGGGGAAUCUUGCACAAUGGGCGGAAGCCUGAUGCAGCAACGCCGCGUGCGGGAUGACGGCCUUCGGGUUGUAAACCGCUUUCGCCUGUGACGAAGCGUGAGUGACGGUAAUGGGUAAAGAAGCACCGGCUAACUACGUG